CGUGCCUAAUACAUGCAAGUCGAACGGUCUUUCUAUGGUAGCUUGCUUCCACUGAGAAGAUAGUGGCGAACGGGUGAGUAACAACGUGGGUAACCUGCCCAUAAGAGGGGGAUAACAUCCGGAAACGGGUGCUAAUACCGCAUAGUUUUCUUGAUCGCAUGAUUGAGAAAGGAAAGACGGCCUUUGUGCUGUCGCUUAUGGAUGGACCCGCGGCGUAUUAGUUAGUUGGUGAGGUAACGGCUCACCAAGACGAUGAUACGUAGCCGACCUGAGAGGGUGAUCGGCCACAUUGGGACUGAGACACGGCCCAAACUCCUACGGGAGGCAGCAGUAGGGAAUCUUCCGCAAUGGACGAAAGUCUGACGGAGCAACGCCGCGUGAGUGAAAGAAGGUUUUCGGAUCGUAAAACUCUGUUGUCAGAGAAGAACAAGUUGGAGAGUAACUGCUCCAGCCUUGACGGUAUCUGACCAGAAAGCCACGGCUAACUACGUGCCAGCCGCCGC
rnacentral:rRNA from 1 species